UACGUAGGGGGCUAGCGUUGUCCGGAAUCAUUGGGCGUAAAGCGCGCGUAGGCGGCCAGAUAAGUCCGGUGUGAAAGUCACAGGCUCAACCUGUGUAUGCCGCUGGAAACUGUCUGGCUAGAGUCCGGAAGGGGCGAGUGGAAUUCCUGGUGUAGCGGUGAAAUGCGCAGAUAUCAGGAGGAACACCAAUGGCGAAGGCAGCUCGCUGGAACGGUACUGACGCUGAGGCGCGAAAGCGUGGGGAGCGAACAGG
rnacentral:rRNA from 1 species